GGGCUGACUUACUACUCUAACCAGACCGAGUUUCUAGUGGAAAAAUAGCAUUAGUGGUGGAAAGGGUGUUUUAGUAUUUCAGCACAGACAUGAUUGAAUCAACAGAAAAGGGCAUCACUCCCAUCUUUACUGUACUGUGGCUGGAAUUCAAUCAUUGCAGAUACAGCUUUUCUAAACUCAAGUUUCAGAGGUGCGUUUGAUUUGCACAGCAGCAUGUCCCGGAUGGAGGGAGCGGACAUUUGAUUUAGAAACCAGCAGUCCCGUGGCGUGAUCUGUUCAGUAUAGCAACGACUCUAGCUGAGAAGACAUACAGAACUGAGAAGCUGAGAAGACAUGCAACAGGACUGCAUAUUCCCAAAUCAAGAUUCUAGGACAGAGAUGCAAAUCAAACACACUUCUGAGCUAGCAUUUCUUAUUGGACAAGGGAGUCCCUGCCAGUUUUACAGUCCCUUUUUGUUCAAUUUGGUGCCUAAUAAAUACCACCCUGGAUCCCAUUCCCAGAGGUGGUGCAUGGUGGUAUCUAGUAAUGACUAUACAGAUCCCAAGCUCUUGUUGAGAUACACUGUAAAUGCUUUUGCAUUUUAGUAAUAUGCUCUCAAUGCCAAGUCGAACAGACAUGGAGUCCAAAACGGCAACCGCAAAGGAUUCAAGAAACAGGUUUUUAAAAAGCACACAGGAUAAUGGGGCGUACACCCAGCCAAACAAGCCAGAAUUCAAACUUUAGCUCCAGAGACACAAAUCUUCAGCAAUAAAACAAACUUUAAACCACUACACUUAGACUACAGUGUUUGCUUCACAUAUCACACUUACAAAAAAAAAAAAAACAAGAAACACAAAAACUUCAUCCCUCAAAACAAAACCAAAAAUAGUCUUUGACACACAAAUGCGUCCGCAUGUGGCAAACAAAAGCGGGAAACCGUUUCAAUUUGCUCCUGUUAUUUUCUUAUUCGCUCUCCACAGUUGUAAAAGAAAAAAAAAUGACACUUCCACACGGCUCGGCCUUAUUUAGCAGUUUAUUUUUGCACUAGGGUUUCAUUAGAGGCCGGUCCAUCUGCGGAGGAGAGGAGAGAGGUGGUGUGCUACUAGCCGCCUGACAGAAUGAUUAAUAGGGGUUCUGGGGCCGGGCUCAGGCGACACAUCAAAAACAACACCGCUUCCACAGGCCUCACCGCCACUUCCUGUGGAGGGCCCCCGCCGCAAAUGAAGUGAGAGGAGGGGGGUGGAGGUAGUAUUGGUGGUGGGUGAACAAACCGACGUUAAUGAAGUUCCACCAAUCUCCCCCUCCAUCUCCUUGAGACAGCCCAGGAGUCAUCUUUAAUUAGGGCUUGUUCGUUGCCACCCGCGGGGAGGAGGGGUGGAUGCGGAAGGGAGAAAAUACGUUUAAAAAAAAAAAGUUCUGGAGAGGAUUUAAAUGCACUUAAAAGGGCUGAAACUGUUUGUAGAAUGAGCAUCAGGCAAUUACAGAAACGUUGGAGACCUGCACACAACAGACAAAUAUUGUUUUUGGACCAGUUUGAGUCGUGACACAGUCAUUAGCAGGACUAAACGGUGGUGACGAUGAUGGGAUAGGUGUCGCUGAGAGGAGAAGACCAACGACGAAAAUCAACAACACACUAGGACUAGGAAACGUCCAAACCAAGACAGCAAAAUAACCUAGAAGGCUUCGCUGACAAAUUCUCUGAGGACGUAAACUGCUGUUUAGCAACGCGCACGCAAACACAGGGGAUAAUAAUAAACAGCCUUUGGAACAGACACUGGCGCUGUUAACCGAGGGCGGGCGUCUUGCAGCUUUUUGUUGAGACAUGGAGGUUUGGUGAGUGUCUGCUAAACUGAUCAGCCCGUAGUUGGGCUGAACGGUAUACUAGCAUGUGGUAUUGCUAAUGGCUCAUCACCGGGUUUUAUUGGCCCGUGGCUUCUUCUCUUGUUUGUGUUAUUAUGGAAAUGAGCUCAUCUGUGCCCC
ensembl:lncRNA